AGAAAUAAAAAUUGGCCAGGACUGGGGACAAACUGUGCUAGAGAAAAAUUGUCUAUGUUGUCACUACAGGUCAACACUGACUUGAUUGCAGAGUCCGUUUCCUCAGCAUCAGUGCUAAUGGCUAGCGGAGGAAGGGGAGGUCUUUGGAGGAGAGCUAGAGAAAAAGGAUAGGCGGCAGAAUUGUGAAUUCACCAGAAAACAUCAUUAGACUGUUAGAUUAUCUUCUCUUCACCAUUUUACUUUGGAGAACAUGGCAGUAGCAGAUAGAAACAACCUUUUGCAAGAAAGCCAUCUUGUUGACUAUUAUGUGCAAAAAGCAAAGGACAAGGAGCAGCCAGACAAAAAUAGGUUGAGCAGCCAUAAACCAAAGUAGCUUUUAAAGUGAAUCUUGACAUUUCUGUAUAAAUAUUCUGUGUUGUUUUAUAAGCAUCAAA